AUUGAACGCUGGCGGCAUGCUUUACACAUGCAAGUCGAACGGUAACAGGCCUUCGGGCGCUGACGAGUGGCGAACGGGUGAGUAAUGCAUCGGAACGUGCCCAGUCGUGGGGGAUAACGCAGCGAAAGCUGUGCUAAUACCGCAUACGAUCUAUGGAUGAAAGCGGGGGACCGUAAGGCCUCGCGCGAUUGGAGCGGCCGAUGUCAGAUUAGGUAGUUGGUGGGGUAAAGGCUCACCAAGCCAACGACCUGUAGCUGGUCUGAGAGGACGACCAGCCACACUGGAACUGAGACACGGUCCAGACUCCUACGGGAGGCAGCAGUGGGGAAUUUUGGACAAUGGGCGCAAGCCUGAUCCAGCAAUGCCGCGUGCAGGAAGAAGGCCUUCGGGUUGUAAACUGCUUUUGUACGGAACGAAACGCGAGCUCUAAUACAGUUUGCUAAUGACGGUACCGUAAGAAUAAGCACCGGCUAACUACGUGCCAGCAGCCGCCGUAAGAC
rnacentral:rRNA from 1 species